CCAGACUCCUACGGGAGGCAGCAGUGGGGAAUAUUGCACAAUGGGGGAAACCCUGAUGCAGCGACGCCGCGUGAGUGAAGAAGCGUUUCGGCGCGUAAAGCUCUUUUAGCGGGGAAGAAACACGGUUCGCGAGAGCCGCGGACGGUACCCGACCAAGAAGCCCCGGCUAACUACGUGCCAGCAGCCGCGGUAAUACGUAGGGGGCAAGCGUUAUCCGGAUUUACUGGGUGUAAAGGGAGUGUAGGUGGCAUAACAAGUCAGAAGUGAAAGCCCGGGGCUCAACCGCGGGACUGCUUUUGAAACUGUUAAGCUUGAGUGCAGGAGAGGUAAGCGGAAUUCCUAGUGUAGCGGUGAAAUGCGUAGAAAUUAGGAGGAACACCAGUGGCGAAGGCGGCUUACUGGACAGUAACUGACACUGAGGCUCGAAAGCGUGGGGAGCAAACAGGAAUAGAUACCCCGGUACAC
rnacentral:rRNA from 1 species